AUACGGAGGAUGCAAGCGUUAUCCGGAUUUAUUGGGUUUAAAGGGUGCGUAGGCUGUUUGUCAAGUCAGGGGUGAAAUACCUGAGCCUAACUCAGGAACUGCCUUUGAUACUGGCAGGCUGGAAUACGGAUGCCGUGGGAGGAAUGAGUAGUGUAGCGGUGAAAUGCAUAGAUAUUACUCAGAACACCGAUUGCGAAGGCAUCUCACGAAUCCGUCAUUGACGCUGAGGCACGAAAGCGUGGGGAUCAAACAGGAUUAGAUACCCUGGUAGUCCACGCAGUAAACGAUGAUAACUAACCGUCGGCGAUAUAGUGUCGGUGGCCAAGCGAAAGCGAUAAGUUAUCCACCUGGGGAGUACGUUCGCAAGAAUGAAACUUAAAGGAAUUGACGGGG
rnacentral:rRNA from 1 species